rnacentral:rRNA from 1 species
UGGGGAAUAUUGGACAAUGGGCGAAAGCCUGAUCCAGCCAUGCCGCGUGUGUGAAGAAGGUCUUCGGAUUGUAACGCACUUUAAGUUGGGAGGAAGGGCAGUAAGCGAAUACCUUGCUGUUUUGACGUUACCGACAGAAUAAGCACCGGCUAACUCUGUGCCAGCAGCCGCGGUAAUACAGAGGGUGCAAGCGUUAAUCGGAAUUACUGGGCGUAAAGCGCGCGUAGGUGGUUCGUUAAGUUGAAUGUGAAAGCCCCGGGCUCAACCUGGGAACUGCAUCCAAAACAGGCGAGCUAGAGUAGGGCAGAGGGUGGUGGAAUUUCCUGUGUAGCGGUGAAAUGCGUAGAUAUAGGAAGGAACACCAGUGGCGAAGGCGACCACCUGGGCUCAUACUGACACUGAGGUGCGAAAGCGUGGGGAGCAAACAGG